rnacentral:rRNA from 1 species
AGCGAACGCUGGCGGCAGGCCUAACACAUGCAAGUCGAACGGUCACUUCGGUGAUAGUGGCGCACGGGUGCGUAACGCGUGGGAAUCUACCCUUGGGUUCGGAAUAACUCUCCGAAAGGAGUGCUAAUACCGGAUGAUGACGUAAGUCCAAAGAUUUAUCGCCCAAGGAUGAGCCCGCGUAGGAUUAGCUAGUUGGUGAGGUAAAGGCUCACCAAGGCGACGAUCCUUAGCUGGUCUGAGAGGAUGAUCAGCCACACUGGGACUGAGACACGGCCCAGACUCCUACGGGAGGCAGCAGUGGGGAAUAUUGGACAAUGGGCGAAAGCCUGAUCCAGCAAUGCCGCGUGAGUGAUGAAGGCCUUAGGGUUGUAAAGCUCUUUUACCCGGGAUGAUAAUGACAGUACCGGGAGAAUAAGCUCCGGCUAACUCCGUGCCAGCCGCCGCUGUAAGAC